rnacentral:lncRNA from 1 species
CAGCACAAGAAGGGGACCUCUUCCUCGGGCAUGGUGUCGAUCUCAUUGAGCGGGAACUCAAAGUUCUCCUCGGCCAGUACAGGCACUACGGGCAUUGGCCAGCGGAUAUAGCUCGAGACAUUGCCCCGCAAGGAAUUAACCUCGGCCAGGGCUCUUCCAAGCUGAAGGCCCAAACUGGCAUUCUCCCCGCGAAGGGCAUUUAAUUCUUCUUGCAGGGCUACAUUUGCCAUGCGGAGGCUAUUGAGAUUUCCUGCCGCCUCCGACAUCUUGACUAGAUCGGGGUCUCUGGGAUUCAGGCAGUGGGGGCGAGGAACUAAGGGCUGCGAGAGGAGGUUGAAAUGUGGCGGCGGGGCGGGAGGGGAGACCGAAGUGCGGUGGCGGCGGGCGGUAGCGGGCCAAAGUGGGCCACACCCACCAGGGCGAGGACCGAGGGCGGACGCUGGGGGCCAAGGCCCGGCGUCUCAGCCCGAUACACUUUACCUCGAGGCAGGGGUUGGAGAAGGAAGACAACGGCGUGAUGCCUGGGAAAAUGCGACAGCGACUGCCCACUCGAGGUCGUCAUGGCGACAGCCAGUGAACGUGUUCCUCUCCUCAGGCAGGCCCCCGAGUGUAGAGGAGCUGCUUCGCGAGGCGCAGCUCAAUCUCCAGAGCCUGUUGCAAGAAGAAUAUGAGGAACAGUACUCAGAGGCCAGACUUCUGGGGCAGACCUUCCGCUCUUCUGUUGAGGCCCCUGAGCCCACCCCCAGCCCAAGGCUCCAGUCUGCCAGGCGUCUGGAGUUUGUGUUGAUGCCUACAAAACAGCAGCUGAGUGAGGAUGAGACUACCACCCAGGGUGUGAGGGCCCCUGAGGCUGCCCUGAGCCUGUCUACAACCAACAAGCAAAUUGCCUGGAAUGGCCCCUUCCCUCUGCCCAUCCUAGAAGAGAAGCGGUGGCCUCAGCCCUGCUCCACGCAGUCUGACCUUGUGCCCAUCAACAUCUCUGGGCAGCAGUUUGAUAAACACGCAAGUUUGCGACACUCGUUGUUUAACACAGAGACAGCCGUGAACCCCAAGUCCACCCUGAGGCGGAGGAGGACCAUUAUUGGAUUCUCUAACUAUUCCCAGCGAGACCAAGGUGACCUCACCACAGCUGAUCCACCGGACCCUUCCCCUUACCCACUCCUACAAAUCCUGCCACACACAUGGCACUGUGGUGAUGAAGAACAAGAACAAUUCAGGGGGAUGGGGCUUUGGAAUGUCCUGAAGAAGCCAGUAUGGUGAUUAGGGUUGCCUCCUGUCAAGGGAAACAAAUGGUGAAGAGCAGGAUUCUGGGGCUAAUAAAUU